rnacentral:rRNA from 1 species
UACGGGGGAUGCAAGCGUUAUCCGGAAUUAUUGGGCGUAAAGGGUAGGUAGGUGGUCUCAUUUGUCGGGGGUGAAAUCCUUGGGCUUAACCCAAGAAGUGCCUUCGAAACGGUGAGACUGGAGUCCUGGAGAGGGUCGCGGAAUUCCCGGUGUAGCGGUGAAAUGCGCAGAUAUCGAGGAGACACCGGUGGCGAAGGCGGGUCUCUGGGCAGUAACUGACGUGAGAGCGAAAGCGUGGGGAGCGAACAGG